GUCUUUCAUUCCUCUCCUCGGCGCCUCAGCAAUUCAAUCCUUAAUCAAAACUUCAGUUCCUCCCUUCCUUAAUCCUCCAUCAGCUUUUGACUUCAAUCGGAUUCUUCUGAGGCGAAGCGGUUAUAACCAAGGGUUUUCUGGGUUUGAAUCUUCCUCUCUUCGUGUCAUUUAAUACUACUGCUACUCUCACUCCUUCAUCACGUAGAUCUGAUAACCAGCCCCAGACAACAAAUCAUGAUGAAGUUAUUGGCUGAAAGUUUGGAUAUCUUGUAUCACAUGUCUUCGUCCUUUCCGAGCUUUGUUGCUAAGGUGGUAACUUGGUAUCUACUAGAGGUGUUAAUGGUGGAAAAGAAGCCUCAGGUUCUUGCUCUUGUACCAAAAUCCAGUAGCCACUAGCCAAGGUAAUAGAAUAGAUUUGAGUUCAAAAGAUCCGAGCUUUGUUGCCAAGGACAGCGAGUUGGUCCGGUCGAAUUGCGAAGCAAGGCUAAAAGGAGGAUGUUUAGCUUUAUCAGUGGGCUCUUUGCAAAAGUCAAAGUCAAAAGGUUAUCGACUUAGAGACUUAGAGAAAACCAUCUCAGAAGAUGCCAAGAUUGCUCUAUUGGGUUAGGUGCUCCAGUUAGAGCAAACAUGAGAACUGGUGGUGUAACAGAUGCUGCGAUUACAUCAUCCUUAUUGGAGAUUGAGCUGUGUCAAAGAUUAUAUGGAGAGAACAAGCACCAAGGCUGGGACAACAGAGGGAUUGACGUUUUUUUUUUUUUUUUUGGGGUCUUUCAAUUAUGGGGUUAAUUGUUUGUUUGUUUAUUUUUCUUAUUUUUUUUUUCAAUUUUGAGAUGGCUCCAAUGGCCUUGAUUC